rnacentral:rRNA from 1 species
GUCUACGGCCACACCACCCUGAACGCGCCCGAUCUCGUCUGAUCUCAGAAGCUAAGCAGGGUCGGGCCUGGUUAGUACUUGGAUGGGAGAAAUGGGAAAGGAAGAAUGUGCAAAGA